UCUCCAUGGCAACGCGGGCCUGCCCACAUGGCGCUGAGCGGCCGGGACCGGUCCGGGACGGUGCCCGAGGCGCCCCGAGCUCCCGGUGCUUCAGGGAGCCGGGUGUCUGCAAGACAGGCAAAGAAGAAGAAAUGCAUAUUCUGGGGCAUUGAGGUGGCUGAAACACUCAUUUGGCAUGGCUGGGAACUUGGACAAGAGGUGAUCAGACACCUUACCUUGAAAAAUGUUCAUGAGAAAACCCAGAAGCUGAGCUACAGGUGUCCUCCCACGCCAUUCUUCUUCACUGUUUUUCCGCAGCCGAUUACUCUCAGCCCUGGAAUGUCCAUAACUCUGCCCAUUGUUUUCCGGCCCAGUGAAAAGAGAGAGUAUGAAGACAGCAUCUGCUUUGUGAAAGCUGAGGGUGAGUUCUCUGUUACCCUGCGUGCUGUGCUUCCACGCCUCCGUGUGUCCUUCCCGGCUGCUCUUCAGUUGCCUGUCUGUGCUGUCCACAGUGUCACGGAGACAACAUUCCCUGUGCGCAAUGUUGGUGAUCUCUUUACCACAUUUGCCUGGAAGACACCAAGUCCUUUCUGCAUGAUUCCUGACCAUGGCACGCUGAAACCGGGUGCUGAGUGCAUGAUCAAGGUGGUCUUCCAACCCAAAGUGGCUGGGGUUCAUGAUGGGGCAGCCACAUGCUGGUUUGGAGAUCAAGAGAAACAAAAGAGGAUAAUCCAGCUAAAAGCCAUAGCCAAGUACCCCUAUCUCCGUGUGCACGUGACAGGGAAGGAGUAUGAAGGUGUACAGCCUGGAAAGUUUCAGGAUGUCCUGUGCUUUGGAUCAGUGCCAGUGGGGACAACUGUGGAAAAGUGUGUAGAAAUCUUCAACCUGUCUGUGGUUGACGCACCAUGUAGGAUAAAGCGAGCAAAAGAUCCUCUGCUUUGUGAUUAUGUUUUCUCCUGUAAUGUGUCCCAUGGCGUUGUUCCUGCCAAAGGGAAGCUGGUCUUGUGCAUACAGUUUCAGCCUCAAGUAGUAGGAGAGCACAGUACUAACUAUUUCACUAUCACAUCUGCUGGAUGCCUCCUGGAGACUGUUCUGAAGGUGGUUGGCUCAUGUAAAGGUCCUUUGGUGUCCCUGGACCAAUAUUCUGUGGACUUUGAAUGGAUCAAUCUUGGAGAAAGUUUGAUGCAGACACUGAAAAUCAGCAACAUGUCAGAUGUCCCAGCCUAUUACCAGUUUGAUAUUGAUUGCAAAGGAAGCGUCUUCUCCUUGGAUCGCCCUUGUGGAGUCUUGGAGGGCACAACAACACUAACGCUGAAGGUGACCUUUCGACCUACUCACCCGAUGACCUAUCACCGCAGAGUCGCGUGCCUUGUCCACCAUCAGGAGCCCAUGUAUGUGGACUUUUUUGGUACCUGCCAUUCAGGCACAGCUAAGCCAACCACCCUUCAGGCAAGCCACCUCUCCUCAUACCGAACCAACAUGGUGAGGGGACUGACCUUCUAUCCCCCUGAUAUCCUGAGUGUGAUGCUAAAGGAUGGGAAGUUGCAGAUGGAUGGAAAGGGAGCCCUCAUGCUGCCCCCUGAGAUCUCUCAAGACAAGCCUCCCGAGGAAUACUUUGAACCCAACUCCAUGACUGAAUAUUUCUGUGAUGGUGUAAGAAGUGAUCUCGCCUCGUUUCCCACUCAUGUUAGUGUCAGCCCCAGGGAGUAUGAUUUUGGUUGCUGUGUACCACCUCACAGGGCAGAACCUCUUCCUCUCUAUGUGACCAACCACACCAAAGGAAACAUCAUUGUUUCCUGGACUCCAAGCCAUGGCAGUGCCUUCCUAGUGCACCCUGAAGUCUGUGACAUCCCACCUCUGAAGACUUCAGCCUUCCGUGUCCUUUUCAAGCCCACUCAGGUCAACAGUCUCUAUGCAGCAGAGCUAGAAGGUUUUGCCUUCUACAAGGUGAUGAGACACUACACCAAUGUUGAGAAUGAUGCCACCAUCUGUCCGUCAUGGUGCCUGACUGUGAAGCUGAGAGCACACACGUAUGAAGCAGGACGGGAACACUUCAUUCCACGGUAUAUCUUGGAUGUCCCCAAGACUUUUCCUCCUGUGGUUCCUGACACUGAUACCUACUGCAGCAUGCUGCUGUUGAACACGAGCACCUCUUUGAUGACUUUCAGUGUGAACCAAACUGCCUGCCCCUCUGUUUUGGUCAAGCCCAGCUCAGGACACAUCAUUCCAGGAGGCCACCAGAUUUUCUUUCUCUCCACUCACCCAGUCAACACAGUCUCACAGCAGCAUAUCCUGCCUUUAGAGCUGAACUCUUAUCCUGAAUACACCAAGGAGAUUUCUCUCCAGAGUUGUGGGGAGUCCCUUCUUUUGCAGUUAGAAGGUGAUGGAAAUCUAUACUUCAAGCCUCUCUACGUAGGGACCUCCUCUACACGAAUGUACACCAUAAAAAACUGCACAAGGCUACCCAUGAUUUUCACAUGGAAGAUACCUCAGUCUGACAGUAAGAUCCUGUCUGUCAGCCCCACUGCAGGGAUCCUCCAGCCCUAUGAAGCCAUGGCUCAGGCAUGGACUUUUACUCCGGAUGAGGAGACCAAGUAUCUGCUACAAGCUAUGGUGUUCGUGAGGUGGAAAAUCUCAGAUCCUGUGUCUCCCGAAAGUGUCUGUUAUGCCUUACGGGUUGUUGGAAAGGGGGCACGGGGCACCAUCAGGGCGCAGAAGAGGUGCCUGGACCUUGGAAAUGUUCUGGUUGGUGACCUGCAAAGCUGCAGCAUUGUACUGCUAAAUGAUGGGAUCUGUUCUCUGAAUUACAUCCUCAGUGUGGAACAACUCAUCACUGGGCCCUGUGACCCUGAGGAGGUCCGCAGCGAUCCACUAGCUCUAGAGUUGGACCGCUCCAGAGGGACAAUCCCUGCAAGAUCAAAAGCUUUUGUUGGAAUAACAGUAAGGCCAGCCCGUCGGCUGCAUUACACCUGGUCAAUCAAAUAUGCUCUUUGCACCCCCACAGCUACAGAUCAUGCAAGCACAAAAGAAGAGCAGCAGCCCCUCUGCUGCAUUGUAGCAACAGGCAUCUACCCAACUUUGUGCAUCACAGAUGCCUGUUCAGCAGGAAGUGCCAACAAUAUCAGCAAGUUGCACCUCUGGAAGCUCUUCUCCUUGGACACACUGAAUGAAUACUUGGAGCGAGACCCGACUCCCGGCGAGCUCACCUACAGAGUUCCCACAAGGCACAGCACAUGCUUGAUCCCUCCAGUGUAUACUCCUCUUCUGCUGGAUUUCAACUUUGGGUCUGCCCCUGUAGGCUCAGAGCCUGCCCUUGUGAUGCUUCUGCUGGAGAACAAGGGUGUGGUGCCUGUGGACUGGGCCUUCUUGUUUCCUUCUGAUCAGAAGAUGGACAUGGAGCUUUGGGCAGAGGAUAUUGAGUUUAGCCCUCGGGAGCUCCACCAGAUGAGAAUUCAGGAUAACCAGCUCUUCAGUGUUUCCCCAAAGUCAGGAACACUUCUUCCAGGACAGGAGAAAUCUGUCCAGCUCUCACACAGACAUGAUUUCAUUGGCACUGAUCGCCUCCCCGUCCUGCUGAAGGUUUCCUAUGGCCAUGAGAUUCUGCUGACCUUCAUUGGCGUGACAGUGGAACAUGACCAGCGGUAUGCUCAUUUUGCAUCCACUAAGCACCUUUUCACACCCAUUGCUGUUGGAAGCUCCCGCCCCCCCACACAGAUUUAUAAACUCUACAACGGUGGCUCCAUGCCUGUGAUGUUUGAGGUUCAGCUGGACAACCUCAUGAGGAUACAGGAGGAGAAUUUUCAGCAUCCUGUGUUUGUCUGCCUAACUCCUAGAGGAGAAAUCCCCCCUGGCAAAACAGGCCACAGUGAGUGGAUCUUCUCACCACUGGAAGCUAAAACAUACUUGGUUGAUGUUCCCAUCCACAUCCUGGGGGGUGAAUCAACCCUGAUCACUUUCCAGGGAGUAGGCUACAAUCCGAAUGCUGUAGGAGAGGCUACCACACCCAGCAAAGCUUUGUCUCCUUCAGUCUUUCCAGGUUCUAACAAGCUAAUUGUGCCUGGACAGGUAGCCACCUUGUCACACCACAGGAUUUGCUUUGGAAAUAUCCCAGACUGCACCAAAGCCAGUCGACUUGUCUUUCUCAACAAUAUCUCGGAGAGCAAGGCUGUUGUGUUUGCCUGGCAGAUAAACCCCUGCAAAGACAAGAGGGUGUUGCAGAUUGCUCCAGAGUCAGGGGUUGUGCAGCCUGGAGAGAGCAUCCCCUGCUUCAUCACACUGGGACCCACAGGGAAUCCCUCCUCCUGCAGCACAGAUCUGGUGUGUGAGGUAUACAUACAGGAGUCCCUGGUUCAGUAUGAGAGGGACCUGCAGGAGUGGCAAAAGGAGAAGGAACGGCAGGCUGUGGAAUUCACCAUCACAGAGAAGGACCUUGGGACUAAGAGUAAGCCAAUGUCACCUGCAAUGAGGUUAUCAGAUUCUGCUGAGACAGAAAAUCUUCCUGAAUCCUCAGCUGUAAUCAGGAAAUACAAGACAUUACCCCCUAUUAAAAGCCACCCUAAGCCCAGUCAGCCAUCUGGACCCCUUGAGAGGAGGCUGCUGUUGGGCAAAGACACCAGCCGGUUGCGGGUCAAACCAGAGCAUCCCAAGCCCAUGCUCUUACACCUUGAUGUGUCAGCCAGGUCCCAUGCUAUUGAGGACUUUCUCAGGAACUUCGCUUUGGAGUUUCCCAAAUACUUCUUGUCCCGCCCCUUCAGCGCCCAGCCCUCAGAAAGUGAGUUUGUGGAUUGGAGUAGGUACAGAAACAGGAUGGACAUGGAGCCCAAAAGUAUGUCCCUGGUGGCUGCUUCGAAACAGGAGUUGCAAAUGGUGACUGACAUACUCACAGGUGUCAUCAGAGGCCUCUUGGAGAAUGCCCAGUUCCACGAUGCAGUGAGAAGAAGCCAGGAUCAGCCUAUUCCAUAUUUCUCCCAGUUCCGGUCUGCAAAAUCAGCAGAGGUCUGGAACAGGAGACAGCGCUCCACAAUCCCCUCCAGGGUCUCUGCUUCAUCAGAUGUCUACCUUGAGAAAGAUGGAGAGAAGAAAGAAAUGAGUCAGGAAACCUCUCCCCGUGAUUUGCUGCAGUCUUGGGAGAUUUUUCACCACAAGCAGUUGAGUGAGAGGAAGGAGAUGAUAAGUAGGCAGCCGGCUGUUGGGAACCUCGUGGAGCUGGUGCUGGAAAACACACUGCAGAAUAUCCUGAUUGAAGCCAGUCGUGGGGAGGUGGUGCUGACAGCCUGGCCCAGGGUCAUUGCUCUACCCCCCAGCCCUUCCCGAAGAGUCACCAAUCCGGCACCCCCAACCACCAGAGCAUAGUUACUGGGCACUGGGCUGCUUGAGCUCUUCAAGCACAUCAGCUCUCUCCAUUCUUCAUCCUGUCCCUGUGAUGUCCAGAGCAACUCCGACCCUCCCAAACCAUGACCUGAGCUCAGCAUGCUGGCUGCCUCUGAGGAGUCUGUACUAGCUGGGAAAGGAGUGGAAUCUGCUUUGAAAUGUAGCUGAGGAAGGACUGACAGCUGGGCAAUGAGAUGAUAAGCCCCUACCGACAUCAGUAGGACGCAGGUACUGAAUCUUCCUCCCCUCCUUCCUCCAGUGAUGGCUGCAGGUUCCCCUUACAGCGACCAGCCCAAGGAGGCAGCUGCAGCACCAUCAGCACACUGAGCAGCCAAAUAAAAGCAACUUGGCCUCCGGACACAGACA